rnacentral:rRNA from 1 species
CGGUGUUUAACUGGCGUGAUGUGGGACGUCCUACCGGUGGGCUUAGCCUCGCGAGGGGCGGCCCAACUAAUAUCCCGUCGCGGUGCUCUUUACUGAGUGUCGAGUCGGGCCGGUACGUUUACUUUGAACAAAUUAGAGUGCUUAAAGCAGGCUAUCCUCGCCUGAAUACUGCGUGCAUGGAAUAAUGGAAUAGGACCUCGGUUCUAUUUUGUUGGUUUUCGGAACCCCGAGGUAAUGAUUAAUAGGGACAGAUGGGGGCAUUCGUAUUGCGACGUUAGAGGUGAAAUUCUUGGAUCGUCGCAAGACGGACAGAAGCGAAAGCAUUUGCCAAAAAUGUUUUCAUUAAUCAAGAACGAAAGUUAGAGGUUCGAAGGCGAUCAGAUACCGCCCUAGUUCUAACCAUAAACGAUGCCAGCUAGCGAUCCGCCGAAGUUCCUCCGAUGACUCGGCGGGCAGCUUCCGGGAAACCAAAGCUUUUGGGUUCCGGGGGAAGUAUGGUUGCAAAGCUGAAACUUAAAGGAAUUGACGGAAGGGCACCACCAGGAGUGGAGCCUGCGGCUUAAUUUGACUCAACACGGGAAACCUCACCAGGCCCAGACACCGGAAGGAUUGACAGAUUGAUAGCUCUUUCUUGAUUCGGUGGGUGGUGGUGCAUGGGCCGUUCUUAGUUGGUGGAGCGAUUUGUCUGGUUAAUUCCGAUAACGAACGGGACUCUAGCCUGCUAAAUAGGCGUACCUUAUGGUAUCGCGAAGGCCCCCGGCUUCGGCCGGUGGGUUUUUACUACCAACGUACAAACAAAUCUUCUUAGAGGGACAGGCGG